rfam:Ovis aries breed Texel chromosome 1, whole genome shotgun sequence.
UCCCUGGUGGCUCAGUGGGUAAAGCAUCUGCCUACAAUGCGAGAGACCCAGGUUCGAUCCCUGGGUUGGGGAA